GCAGCCCCACGAUGUCACGUCGCUGGGAGAGAGAAGGACGUCACACUCCUCAUGCAAGACCUAGUCAGGCAGCACUCUGUGCUGCUCACAGUGUUUGUGGAACAUCCCGGACCUCCUGUUAUGAAGCAGGUGCACCCGAAGGUUGACCGGAGGCAGGAGCCCGGGGGGAGGCUGCGGGGGCAGAGAUGGCCGUGCAGUCCCCAGGGUGCUGUAGGUCCAGUCUGAGCCCUGGGCUGGGUUGUAGGCCACAGGCACCGCCCAGCCCCUAUCUCUCCCUGCCUUCCCCCACCCCUUCUUGACAGCCACAGGAUGGAGCAGGUGUGUCGGGACACUCGCCGGUGGGUGUGUCCCAGUGGGUAUUUUUAAAAUCAGACUGGAAUAGUUGGAAAGUGGACAAGUGCUCACAGCACGGAAGCUUGUCAGCCAUUGUGAAAUUAACCUUGCUUGUGGCAGAUGUCGUCACCACACCGACGCCUCCUGUGGAGUCACGGCCACGGUUAAGGAUCACAGGAAGGGAGCGGGCUCCUGGCCCACGCACAGCGCUGCCUCUGCCCCUGCAGCUGCCUCACCAUCCUCCCCGCCUACGCUGUCCACGCUGGGUGGUCGCUGUCUCGGGGCAAGUCUUCCACCUCCGCUGGACCUAGAGCUCAGCGGGGCAGGAAUCGGGGCCAGCCACAUCAGUCACGGCCAUGUCCCCUGCUACUGGGGACCCCGGGCCAGAGGAUGCUCAUGGGAAAUGAGCGCUCAGCCAGCUGGUCCCCUCCACGCAAGGCAGACACUGGACAAGGCCCACUGCGGGUUGCCCAGCUCAGCGACCUGCACAUAUCCCGGCCCACACAGCCUAGGAAGGGUGAGCAGGCCUUCGGCUCAGGUACUUCUGGGCCAGUCCUGGUGAGGCUUCCUGGGCCUCCAGAUGGAGCUGGGAGAUCCGCACUCCUGGGCCGGGGAGCACAGGGAGGGAACCUCGGGACUUCCCCUCCUCACCAGCAGCGAAUGAGACGCGUCCGCCCCCUGGCUGCAGCACCCGGCCACAGGCAGGGGUUUGGUGGAAGUUCUGGGUUUCAGGAAGAAUGGCAGGGGUGCAGGACAUUAUGGUGCAGGGGAGGGGUCUCCCAGGCGUCACAGAGGCACCUCCCGACGGGUUGGGUGGGGCAGGGGCUCUCAGCUCCACCUGCACACUGCCAGCUCACAGACUGCUCCAGCCACGGGGUCUCGGGGUCCAGUACCUGCGUGGUCGGACGGAUCCCCGCUGGCCUGCACCACUACCCAGCGGCAGCAGUGGGAACAGCAGCCAAAGCGAGGCUGAGACCACACGGGGAGGUUUCCUGCAGGGACCCGGUGCUGACCUGGGUUUCUCAGCCCUGCCCGGGAGGGGCCGUGGAGGCUGACACUGCUGCCCCGAGGGCCUGGCCACGGAAGGUCACCGAGGACCACCCCACGCCCAGGACUGGACCCACUGGCAACAAGGACACCCGGCCAGUGGAGGACGAGAGAGACGAUGGUGCUGGCUGGAAAACAGCAGAGCAGACGAUGGCGCCUCCUGCACUGAGGGCUGAGUUGUGUCACCUGUGACAACCCUGGAGGAACCUGAGGCUGGUGAUGAUGUCAUCGCUAUUUUUCCCACAGCGAGUCACAGCCAGCGCUCCUGCACUGGGGAUUCUAGAAGGUUCCACCAUCCUCCUCGGCCAAGAGCCAAGACACAGCUGCCCUGUCACGUCUUCCCAAGAAGUUCCGGUUCUCAGGUUCUCGUUCCAGCAUUUUUAGAGUUCUGGACUGGGGCCAUGGGACAGGACAUGCUGUCUCCACCGGGGUUGGGGAGGCGGCCUGACUGGAACCUGGGUGAGGCAGAGGCCCCGUGACCUGUGAGGGCUCCUGGCUGCCCUGCUGUGGAGGAGCCCGACCACACUGCAGACCCUGCAUUCUGCUGUCUCAGGGCUGCUGGGGCAGACCAGGCUCAGUCCCCGCUGCUGCGGGCAGGGGCUCUGGGCUGGGGUGCGGGAGGGCGGCAGGCACAGCCCAGGCCUCCGUGGACGCUGACAGCCCAGACUCAGUGUCAUGAGGCUUUGGGGUCAGAGAGCCCUGGGUCACAUCCUGUCCCUGCCCCUUUUCACAUGGCUAAAACGCUGCCCACACACUGCCCACUUCCUCCCCCAGCACCUCUAGCCCCUGCCCGAUCCUGCCCGCUCUGGGGUCACUCUCUGGGGACAGGUCUGCCUUGCACACGGGCUCCAGCUCUGAGACUGUUAGGUAGGAAGUCAGUUAUGAGCUUAUGCGUGUGUGACAUAAAGGCCUAAAGAGAAGACAUCUAUGUCCAGCAGAUGCAUCUGAUCUCAAAGUCAUCCUGACAAUGUUUCAGGGGCAGCCCGGUAUUCGCGUCCUGCCCUGCCCCCUUCUACCUGAUGACCUGCCAGGUGGAGAUCCCCCCCACUUCUGCCUGACAAACCUUCCACAAUCUCCCAGGUGCAGUCCAGUAUCUGCACUUCAAACACCCUGCUUCUCCGAAUCCCUGUUCUCUAGGGGUCUUGCUCACCCUUCCUCUGAACCCAGAAUGGUGCCAGCUAGGCUUCCUCCUGUCUGAUACCUUCAGGGGAAAACUCAAAUAGAAGUUUUUCUAUUUACAUCCAAAAAGCCCUUUGUUCCAAGAGGAGCAGAGGUGGGGAAGCAAGACCUAUCUCCUUAAAAACCCUCGGCCUCAACUGGACUGUGCGCUCAGCCCUCUGCCUCUCUGCUGAGCCGCCCGCCUGGUCUCGCCAGGUGUACUCUCUCUACUCAACCAUGUAACCUGCCCCCUACCCCCCCGCUCAGUCCAAGCGACUGUGCACUAUCUCUCAGGUCCUGUCUGGAGAGGUGCCCAUCCAUCCUUACGGAUGUCCCUUCCCUAAUAAACCUUGCUAUUUUACCUCGCA
rnacentral:lncRNA from 1 species